AUGGAAAGCCAUGGCGGUUACUGGAUCCAGAGAUAGAGCAAAUUGGUCGAGCCAUCUAAACUCAAACCUUGCCUUGCUAAGGGCAUCAUCCCAAGCUUGUGCGUAGGGAUGACCCUUUGCCAAAUCAGCAGCAUGAGCAGCAAUUUUGUAGGAUAUCACACCUGUCUUAACAUCAUCACGAUUAGGCAACCCAAGGUGCUCCUUUGGUGUAACAUAACAAAGAAGUGCAGUGCCAAGAGCUCCAAUGUUGGCCGCACCAAUGGCUGAGGUGAUGUGGUCAUAACCAGGUGCGAUAUCAGUUGUCAGUGGACCCAACGUAUAGAAAGGUGCUUCAUUACACCACUCCAGCUGUUUUUCCAUGUUUUCAGGAAUUUUAUGCAUUGGGAUGUGCCCUGGACCUUCAUUCAUCACCUAAAAGUUGAUAGAUAUCAGGAAGUUUGCCCCAAAGUUUCAACUAUUGAGUUAUAUACAAACCAUGGUCUACAAAUCAGCAAUUUGAAACUUUGAAUCAUCUAGUACUUUGUUAUAUAUUAGUCGAUUUAACAGAAAAUUCCUAGGUAAACUUAACUGCACUGGAAAUAAGAGCAGAUCACUGAUUAGAUGUUAAACAGCUAGAUGGUAUUAGGAGUGGCAUAUUUUAUGUUUGAUAUGCAAUCUGUUGAUCCAGCAAUCAUAUUUAGUUGUAUUGCAAAAGGAUAGCUUGAUUCACUGUUUUCCUUUCUGUCAAACUCGCAUUUUUCAAAUCCAACAAGUUUUGAGUAUAGAUCCUCACAAGUUACAAUAUAGAAUACUUUUCUGACCAGAUCUGCACAGGCGCUACCAUUUCCAACUAAUCAUUUACCUUAUGCAUUUUGAAGUUAAACCAUGUUUAUGUUCAGAACAGGUUUUUUAUU
rnacentral:lncRNA from 1 species